UACGGAGGGUGCAAGCGUUAUCCGGAUUCACUGGGUUUAAAGGGUGCGUAGGCGGACAGGUAAGUCAGUGGUGAAAUCUCUGGGCUUAACCCAGAAACUGCCGUUGAUACUAUCUGUCUUGGAUAUCGUGGAGGUGAGCGGAAUAUGUCAUGUAGCGGUGAAAUGCUUAGAUAUGACAUAGAACACCGAUUGCGAAGGCAGCUCGCUACACGGUUAUUGACGCUGAGGCACGAAAGCGUGGGGAUCAAACAGG
rnacentral:rRNA from 1 species